rnacentral:rRNA from 1 species
CGGGACGGGGUGAGUAAUGUCUGGGAAACUGCCUGAUGGAGGGGGAUAACUACUGGAAACGGUAGCUAAUACCGCAUAACGUCGCAAGACCAAAGAGGGGGACCUUCGGGCCUCUUGCCAUCGGAUGUGCCCAGAUGGGAUUAGCUAGUAGGUGGGGUAACGGCUCACCUAGGCGACGAUCCCUAGCUGGUCUGAGAGGAUGGCCAGCCACACUGGAACUGAGACACGGUCCAG